rnacentral:rRNA from 1 species
UACGUAGGGGGCAAGCGUUAUCCGGAUUUACUGGGUGUAAAGGGAGCGUAGACGGUGUGGCAAGUCUGAUGUGAAAGGCAUGGGCUCAACCUGUGGACUGCAUUGGAAACUGUCAUACUUGAGUGCCGGAGGGGUAAGCGGAAUUUCUAGUGUAGCGGUGAAAUGCGUAGAUAUUAGGAGGAACACCAGUGGCGAAGGCGGCUUACUGGACGGUAACUGACGUUGAGGCUCGAAAGCGUGGGGAGCAAACAGG